CACACGAGUGAAAAAUACACCGCACCGCGCGAGGGACGAAAACGGCGUCGAACCCUAGCCCCAAUCCAUAUCCCCGCGCCCCUCACUCCUCCCUCCCUCGUCCGCCGCCGCUCCCUCCCACCUCCUCCUCCUGCGCCCUAGGAGCCCCGCCGCCGACUGCUACUCCUCCACCGCCUAGCCUCUUCCUCCUCCUCGCCUUCCCAUCGCUCGCGCGCAGGCUGUCGUGGCCAAGCGCUUCGCGGGCUAACCCGUCUCCACCGCCUGCUCUGGGUUCGCGCGGGACGGGCUCCCCCGCCUCUUCCUCCUCGCGGCCGAGGUCGACGCCUCCGGAGUGAGUCGAGGGUGGGGGCCGGGUCAAGGCUGCUGUUGGCGGCCUGGAUGCAGGCGAUGGUGGCGGUCGGCAGGGGUCUGGCGGGCGUGGCGGGUGAGGGAAGGAGCAGCAAGGCUGCAGGUCGUUCCAUGGCCGAAGAAUAGAUGGAAGAGGAUGAGGGGACGGAUGUGAGGGAGAGGAGGGAAGGGACGGAUGGGGGAGGGAGAGGAGGGCCGGAGAACUAACCGCCUCUGCCGCCGCCGGUUGCUUCAGGGGAGUCAGGAGCGAGAUGGGGUCGCAGCGAGAGGAGCUCGUCCAGGAACGAGCGAACAGGUACGCGGGGUGUGGGCUGCGAGGCGUUUCCGAGCCUUUCCGAGCUUGUCCGCUCGGAAACCUCGCGCGAGCGGUGUAGGUGCGCUGGUGGAUCGCUUGGAAGGCCAAGUUUUCCAAGCCCAAAUCUUGCAGGUUUUCUUUCUCUGUGCCUAGGAUGUGUUUGAUGAAAAUCCAAGAAGGCUGACAGGGGAGGAUUAAUCUAUGUAAGUCAUGUCAUUUCAUUUUUUCUGUAAUUAGUUGCCUAGCCCAACUUUAAGCUGGAAUAAAUUCCUUAUUUUCACUGAAAAUGCCCUGUAUUUAACUAUUUAUUUCUCAUGCUUGGGUGAUGGCUGACCAUGGCAUUUUCUUGUUGGUUCAGGAUAAUUUCUAGCUGCCACUUUGUUUUACCAAUUUCAGGUUGCUUCUCCAUGAGUUUGGGUGUAGUUGCUUCUGCCCUGCAGCACCUUUGCUCAUUGGCCAUGUUGAUUGCUUAUCUUUUGUUCCCUUCACGUCAUUUGCUUGCUCAAGAUUCGUUGUUGUAAAAGGAUUGCAAAUUUUUUUUGCAGGUCGGUCUCUCUGGUUCUUUUUGCCGAUGGCCUGAUUUACGCACUGACAACCUCUUACUAUAACGAUUCGGCAUGCUUCUGUUUUAGAUAUGGGAUAUGAAGAAGGGGCGUUCAGCUGGGCCUCAACCGGCCAGACAUCGAGCUCCAGCAAGCACGUGUGCCUACCCUCCUUUGCCAUGAGUUCCUGCAACAACAGCAGAUUGUGUGUGUGUGGUACCAGCCAGAUAAAUACUACACAAAUCAUGUUCAUGACCUAGCAGGUGAUAACGGCGCCACGAGGAUUCGCUGCCGUGAGGAGGACCCCGACCCGUAUAAUGGCCACCGGAAGGUCACACACUUCUUUGGCUCGCUCAGACUGGCUCCAUUGACGGCUUCUCUAAGGUGUAUUUGUUGGGUUCCUCUUGGCGUGUUGAACAAAAAUUGGCGUUCAACACUGCUAUUUCAAGAUGGUUUGAUCAGGGGAAAACCCAUAGAUGGAAGGAAAUUAUUGUAGGUAUCUAAGAAUGCUGAUGAUUACACUCGGAGCAAGCCUUGUUGCGGCGCUGCAAGUGUUGCCCCCCUCGGUGAAGGAAGGUGCCUGUGUGCUUCUUCUGCAGCUCGCAGUGAGGAUUGCUGUGUCCAACCUGCACAAGAAUGCCAAGAAGUCUUUCUCGGAGACGAUUAAGGACAUGUACCUGCACUACAACGAGAGAUCUGGGCUGCUUCUUUGUGGCUUCCAAACUUGAAAUGUUUGUUUGGAAGUUAGUUUAGUUGUUUUUUUUUGGAUUCACAGCUUCUCACAUGUAUCAUGAAACUAAAUGAAGAUAUGGUGGUAUGGUCUCAAUAGUACAACUUAAAGCCUUCCAUGCUUUAUAUUUUCUCUGAAA